rnacentral:rRNA from 1 species
GACGAACGCUGGCGGCGUGCCUAACACAUGCAAGUCGAACGGUUUGGAUGUCAGAACUGAGGAGUUAAAGGAAGGAAAACGAAGCUUUAACUUCUGACCUCUGGCAUCCAGAUAGUGGCGGACGGGUGAGUAACGCGUGAGCAACCUGCCUUUCUGAGGGGGAUAACGUUCGGAAACGAACGCUAAUACCGCAUAACAUCAUCUGAUGGCAUCAUGAGAUGAUCAAAGGAGCAAUCCACAGAAAGAUGGGCUCGCGUCCGAUUAGCCAGUUGGCGGGUAACGGCCCACCAAAGCGACGAUCGGUAGCCGGACUGAGAGGUUGAACGGCCACAUUGGGACUGAGACACGGCCCAGACUCCUACGGGAGGCAGCAGUGGGGGAUAUUGCACAAUGGGCGAAAGCCUGAUGCAGCAACGCCGCGUGAGGGAAGAAGGUAUUCGUAUUGUAAACCUCUGUCUUCGGUGAAGAACAAAUGACGGUAGCCGAG